CGAACUUUCUUUCGCCUUUUCAACGUGCUAAGUAACAAGUUAAGAUGACUGCCAUCAUGGGCCGUUAAGAAACCGCAAGCAAAGGGCAGACAACCUUCCAGGAAGCUGCCUCCUGUCCCCGAGCCGAAGCUGCAGUUCAGCAAGAGCAGGUCAGCAAAUUGCUACCCUGAUCAAACGUAAACUAAAGCGCUCUGCUGUGAUUGCACUCCGUAAAUGUGAAAACUUGGUGUUUGCUGAGAAAUAUCAAACAAGAAAACUCCGUGAUGGACGCCGUGAGAUGGAGUAACGCUGUGUGGCAAAGAAAUGCGGCCAAUUCGACGGGCCUGAAAAAUCCAAAUUGGCUUUUGUGAUCCGCAUCCGCGGUAUCAACAAAGUUGCACAAAAAGUGCGUAGUUUUACAGUUCUGUCUUCGCCACAUUAAAACGGUGUGUUCAUCAAAUUGAGCAAGGCAAUCAUUAAUAUGCUACGUAUGCCGAACCCCUAUAUGGGGUUAUCCAAAUCUUAAAUCACUGGCGCAAGACGUUGAGGUUUGUGAUUUCGGUAGCCGUGAGGAUAAGAUCAACAAAUUGCUGCACAAGAUGGCUUAAAGAAAUUGUUGUUUUGUAUUUAAGGCGACAAUAUAAUUUGGCACAUCUUCAAAAGACGCUCAAGCAAAAAAAAAAGAAAGAAAAUUAAAACAUUCCUGAAGUUGCCUUUUCACGGGUCGAUUUCUGUCGACUGGAAAAUUUACUUAAGAUAUCGACUAGCCAAAACGCUUACAUUUUACGGUUGAAUUGCAAUUUACACGGGUAGAUUUUGGUUAAACGACAAAAAUCGACCGUGUAAAGGCAGCUUAAAUAACGUUCAAAUUAAUCACCCCCUCUGAGAUGGAAAAUACCAAUAACCAUUUCAUAAUUUCGAAAAUUAUUCCAUUUAUAUUUGUUCUUGCAUUUUCCACACCACUUGUGAGGUAUGCUUUUACGCGCGUUACCGAUUUUUUUUUAAUGUGCUCGGUUGCCCAGGAGGCCUAUUUUCACCUUUACAACUUAACUUAAACAAUUAAAACUAAAGCAUGCAAUAUAUAAAGAAAAUUAAAAGUUGUCUUACAUCUAGUAAACUUAAAAAAUUGCACAUUAAAUUCAUUUUUCAUUAUAAAAUAAAAUUAAAUAUCACAAUUCAGUUUACAAAAUGUGGUCUGUUUGCACCCACAGUAAGUUCCCAUGAAGCCUAGUCUAAAUUCGGAAUU